CGUUAACGAACGAGACCUUAACCUGCUAAAUAGCUAGGCUUAGCUUCGGUUAGGCCGUCAGCUUCUUAGAGGGACUAUCGGUGUUUAACCGAUGGAAGUUUGAGGCAAUAACAGGUCUGUGAUGCCCUUAGAUGUUCUGGGCUGCACGCGCGCUACACUGAUGAAGUCAGCGAGUUUUAAUUUUCCACCUUGACCGGAAGGUCUGGGUAAUCUUGUGAAACUUCAUCGUGCUGGGGAUAGAUCCUUGCAAUUAUUGAUCUUCAACGAGGAAUUCCUAGUAAGCGCACAUCAUCAGUGUGCGCUGAUUACGUCCCUGCCCUUUGUACACACCGCCCGUCGCUACUACCGAUUGAAUGGCU
rnacentral:rRNA from 1 species